UCACACAUCGCAUUUAUUGAACAUUUACUAUGUUCCAGGCUCUGUGGCACUUCCUACACAUGAUGUCACUCACUCCUCCCCGUGUUUCUGUGCUGGCGAGCACCACAAUUAGCAGACCUGUUACAGAGGGUUGGAGAAAUUUGUCUGAAGUCACACAGCCAACAGAUGGUGGAAUCAAGACUCAAACCAGGUCUUCUGACUCUAGUAGCUAUGCUUGAUAAAUAGCUAUAACUUUUAAUAAAAGGGACAGUGGGGGACAUGUGAGUAUGGGGGUGUGGGUGUGAUGGGUUGAUGGCCGAAAGCUUUCUGGGACCCUGCUACUCAUGCUAGAUUUUCUGGUCCUGAUUAGCUGCUCCAUGGCUGCCAGGAGCUGUUAUUAUCACUCACUCCUAUGCCCUUGUCACUGGGCCUGUGGGGACCUGCCCUUCCUUCCUGCUCUUGGCCCUGUGAUGUUGACAGCUGUACUGGGAAAUCACAUGCUGGCUGCUGCCACAAUUACCAGACACAGACUGUAAGUGCCUCCCUGGACGUCCUGCCACCCUGUCUCAUGCCGGCCCCUACACAAGUGCUCAGGCCACGGCUUUGCUCCAUCUGUUUUACUUCUGUAUUCCAACUCACGAUGAGAAAAGCAACUUCCAGCACCUGCCACAGGAUCAGCAGAGAAUCACUACGAUGUUCCAUGUCCCUAUGACCGCAGGGCAACCUGGAGGAAGCGGUGGUCGUACAAGCACCAUGAGUCACAAAACCUGACAAGAUAGUCAGCAUCAAUUUGGUAUCUGAGGUACUAGCAUGUUCAGUUACUGAACACUCUUCCCGUUUCUCCCAACCCAAUCCUGUCUCCCUUAAUAUAGCAGCAAGUAUUUCUAGAGGGCUUACAACGUACUAACCACUGUUCUAAGCGGUUUUCAUGUACUAAGUCACUUAAUUAUCACAACUCUCUAUGUAGGCACUAUUUUUUGCAUACUCAUUUAUAGAUGAAAUGGCCUUGACACAAACAGGUUAGGUAAUUUACCCAGCUGGCACAUAGCUGGUGAGUGUGAGAGGAGAAAUUCAAGACCAAGCAGUUUAGAAUCAGAGCUCUCAUGCUCAGUUACUCGGCUCUACUGUCAUUUUUAUUUCAGAUCAUAAUCUUCCCUUUUCUGGACUAUUAAACAGCUUCCCAGCUGGUCUUCAUUCAAGUUGCCUCUUUUUACAUUACUAUUUUUAUUUUUAUUUUUUUGUCUUUUUAGGGCCACACCUGCAGCAUAUGGAGGUUUCCAGGCUAUGGGGUCUAAUCGGAGCUAUAGCUGCCGGCCUACUUCACAGUCAAAGCAAUGCCAGAUCCAAGCUGCAGCUGCGACCUACACCACAGCUCAUGGUAAUGCCAGAUCCUUAACCCGAGAGAGGCCAGGGAUUGAACCUGCAACCUCAUGGAGUUAGAUUCGUUUCUUCUGCGCCACAGCGGGAACUCCCUACAUUACUAUUUCUUAUUAUAACAAUAACAUGUGAAUACAUUCUUCAGGUAAAAUAUGAUAAUAGCAUGAAUUAGACAAAAACCCAGUUGGCCACCAGCCGCAAUCCCAAGUUUCUCCCCAGGGACUACUAUGCCUCCUUCUAGAUAUUUUUAUGCGUAUAUACAUACCUGUAAAAGUAUGCGGUAUUGUUUGAUAGAUUUUUUAACAAAUGUGGUUAAUAAUUUGCAAAAUUUUACGUUAUAGGAUUUCAAGAGCAUUCUAAAUCAAAAGUGUGACCAUUAAAAGAAGAAAUAUCGGGGAGUUCCCAUCAUGGCACAGAGAAAACGAAUCCGACUAGGAACUAUGAGAUUGCAGGUUCGAUCCCUGGCCUCGCUCAGUGGGUUAAGGAUCCAGCAUUGCCAUGAGCUGUGGUGUAGAUUGCAGACUCGGCUCGGAUCUGGCACUGCUUUGGCUGUGGCAUAGGCUGAUUAGACCCCUAGCCUGGGAACCUCCACAUGCUGCGGGGGCAGCCCUAAAAAGACAAAAAAAAAAAAAAAAAAGAAAGAAAAGAAAAUAGGAUGACUUCAUCACCCAUUGCCACUGUACAUUGAUUCAAACAGUUAUAGAUCUACAGCAGACACUCCUAACAAUUCACCUAAAUUAUAUCUACCUUGGCAGAGUCAAGGUUAAUAAACAUCACCAUAUGCCUGCUGUGUGACCCUGG
rnacentral:lncRNA from 1 species